rnacentral:rRNA from 1 species
UACGUAGGGUGCAAGCGUUGUCCGGAAUUAUUGGGCGUAAAGAGCUCGUAGGUGGCCUGUCGCGUCGGCUGUGAAAACUCGGGGCUCAACUCCGAGCUUGCAGUCGAUACGGGUAGGCUAGAGUUCGGCAGGGGAGACUGGAAUUCCUGGUGUAGCGGUGAAAUGCGCAGAUAUCAGGAGGAACACCGGUGGCGAAGGCGGGUCUCUGGGCCGAUACUGACACUGAGAAGCGAAAGCAUGGGGAGCGAACAGG